rnacentral:tRNA from 1 species
UAGUAGAUAGCUAAAACUUAUAGCAUAACAUUGAAGAUGUUAAGAUACUUUAAAGUUCUGCUAA